GAAGAACUGAUCCAGGGCUGACCUCCUGGCCUACAUACCCACCAGGAAGCUCAGUGGAACCCACCUUUGCUACCAGCAACCCCUUGAAGGACCUUGCUAAAUUCAGAUCACUCCUGAGAGACAAAGGCUCUGGAGCGAAUCAAGAAUUCUGAUUUUGGAGAAAGAAGAAAUUUCUGGAUUUGAGGAGAUAUUCGGAUAGAAAGCAAAAACCCUCACACAGAGCAAGGGUGUGCAUGUUGACCCCAACGGGCAGGGAGAUGCAUGGCCAGAAGUGACUUAUAGCUGGAGACGACUUGUCAUCCCAUACCUUGCCCUUCUUGCUUGGGGAAACCCUUUCUUCUGCUACUGCUCAUGAGACUCUCUCCCACCCUAUUCCCUGGCAACUGGAGGGCCUCUGCCACACCCUCUCUUGCCCCCCACCUCCCUCGCUGCUGUGCCUUUGGACUCAGCCAUUCUUGUUUGCUCCAUUAUCUUCCAGCCGGAUACAGAGUGAAUAGUUAACUACACUUGGGUCGAAUGGGAUCUUAAUUUCUUGUUUCUGUUCCUUCUAAAGAACCAGUGUUCGUGUGUUGCAAGCAGCCUUUGAUACUACCCCUCCCAUUUAUUUGAAGUCUGGCCUCCCUAUUUCCAGAGUGAUGCAUGAAUCAGUGUGAAGGUUCUUCAGGCUCUUGGGCAGAUGUUAGGGCCAUUGGAGAAGUCCUCAGGAGGGGAGCUGGAUCGUGAAGACUGGUGCUCAGUGCGUUCGCUUUCUUUGUUGGGUUCACACACAGGUGUAUACCAGGAAGAGCAAAAAUAAACCCUGUCAUUUGCUUCAACUAUCUUCUAUGACACAGAGAUACAGUUGUGAAGACCCUUUUCUCUCAAGUGGUAUUUGAGUUUAGGAAAAGCCAGGUUUUCAGGAUCACCUGGCAUCCUGAAGUUGUGGCUGCUUGUUGGGAAGUUCUGCCUCCAUCUUUCUGCUGAAUGGCAGGGAUGACUGUUGCGAUGCUGGAACGUGGGCCUUCGGUGAGUCCACUCAUCCUGUGUGGUGUGGCCCCAUGGAGCCCCGACAGUCUAGGAAAACUUUCAUCCUCUUCAAAUAACCCCAGAAAUCCCCAUAGGAAAAUGUGAAGAGUCGUGUUGAUGGAGGUUUCUCCCGGAGAAAUGACCCUUCUGCUUGGAGGCUGCAGUUUAAUUGGCACAAAGUAACCUUCGCAGUGACCACUGACCUUAGGUGACAGAUGAUUUCAGCCUGAUCAGGGCUUGUGACUGUCCAUGAAGUGAAACACGGGGACUAUAUGGGCUGGAGAGCCACUACUCUAUCCAGUUUCCAGGUAUGAGCUGUGGGGAAACUAAGCUUGAUGGAACUGUCUUUGCCCUUUGCUUAAAAUAUCCCCAGUUGUGAGUUAGUCCAUUCUGAAGCACUGUAGGGGCAGCCCUGUAGCACAGUGGUUGAAUGCUGUGUGGAAGAAGACAGAUUCCACAUGGCUGGCCAUGGUUUGAAUCCCAGUCCUGGUGGCUUGAAAAACAUGCCAGGCACAUAUGCACGUGUGCCCAGGGUUCUGACAGGAUAGAAGAUUAGAGGAAGGGGGAUUGCCCUGUGACCAGGCUCUUUUUCUUUUUCUCUCUCUCUGGUGUAUGCACAUGCCCUCUGAUAAGUAAGUAACUAAAUAAAUAAGCAGGCAAGCACUGCCAUUCUUAGGGACUUCAGUCUCACGGGUGGUGCUUGCUAGGAUGCAGUAUAGCAGGAUGCCCCACUCUGAGUCUGACUCUAAUGUCCUUUUCCAUGCCCACCCCUGCUGCCUGUCCAUGGAGGGUGCAUCUUAUUAGUCUGCCUAGGACAUCAAGGUUCCCCAACCACUAUGCAUGUGGCCAAGAGUUGGGAAUGUUCUGGAAUUGCUUAACUGAGGACAUUCCUCUCCUAUUUCAAUGAUGAUUUUGAUUGAAUUCAGCAUGAUUUUUAACCCUUUGGCAAUGCUUCAUGGAAGAGGCUAUCUUUUCACAGAUAGAUAUUGGGCACCUAAGCUACUGAGAUCCUAAAAAUCCUUCAAGGCUCAUCUCAAAUGCUCCCUUCUCUAGGAAGUCUUCCUAGAUUCUCUUCCCUCUCAACUAGUUGUGAUUUCUCUCUCACACAUUCUUUUUAUUUAUU